GGUCGGUAUAUAUUCGUGCCACCCCCCGCGGUUAUAGGAGAGGCCCAAGUUGACAGAUACCGGGGUAAAGAGUGGUUAGGAAAAACUUAUUCACUAAAGCCGAAUGCCCUCAGAACCGUCAUACGUUCCCGAAGGUAAGAAGCCCCAUCACGAAAGUGGCUUUACACUCCCCGACCCCACGAAAGCUGUGAAACAAACUGGGAUUAGAGACCCCACUAUGCCCAGCCCUAAACUUUGAUAGCACUUUACACCCGCUAUCCGCCAGGGAACUACGAGCAUUAGCUUAAAACCCAAAGGACUUGGCGGGGBUUUAUACCCVCCUAGAGGAGCCUGUUCUAGAACCGAUAAUCCUCGU
rnacentral:rRNA from 1 species